GACGAACGCUGGCGGCGUGCCUAAUACAUGCAAGUAGAACGCAGUUGCGAACGGGUGAGUAACGCGUAGGUAACUGCCUCAUAGCGGGGGAUACCUAUUGGAAACGAUAGCUAAUACCCCAUACUGUGUGAUGGACCUUCUUUGUAUUAGAUUGUUGGUGAGGUAAAGGCGCACCAAGGCGACGAUACAUAGCCGACCUGAGAGGGUGGUCGGCCACACUGGGACUGAGACACGGCCCAGACUCCUAAGGGAGGCAGCAGUAGGGAAACUUCGGAAAUGGAGGGAAGUCUGACCAAGCAACGCCGCGGGAGUGAAGAAGGUUUUCGGAGCGUAAAGCUCUGUUGUUAGAGAAGCGGGAACUAAAGAGAAAGGGACGGCUAACUACGUGCCAGCAGCCGCGGUAAUAG
rnacentral:rRNA from 1 species